UCUGCUUAUAUAGUUUAGCUUGGCGCGUGUUCUGACGCGCCAACGGGUGACUUGGCUACCGGGUAGUUCACCCACUCUUCAUCUCUGUAGAGGGGUUGGUUGUCCUCCCUACUAUCAUGAAUUUUCACACCCGAAUUUGGGUUGAGCAUCGUGCCCGUGUCGUGCAAGCAUCACUAUGUCCCGUAUCAUCGUCGGGAUUCCCGCCAAUUUCUGGG
rnacentral:lncRNA from 1 species